GACGAACGCUGGCGGCGUGCCUAACACAUGCAAGUCGAACGGAAAGGCCCUGCUUGCAGGGUGCUCGAGUGGCGAACGGGUGAGUAACACGUGGGUGAUCUGCCCCUUACUUUGGGAUAAGCCUGGGAAACUGGGUCUAAUACUGGAUAGGACCAUGCUGUAGGUGGUGUGGUGGAAAGAUUAGUUUCGGUAAGGGAUGAGCUCGCGGCCUAUCAGCUUGUUGGUGGGGUAAUGGCCUACCAAGGCGUCGACGGGUAGCCGGCCUGAGAGGGUGGACGGCCACAUUGGGACUGAGAUACGGCCCAGACUCCUACGGGAGGCAGCAGUGGGGAAUAUUGCACAAUGGGCGCAAGCCGGAUGCAGCGACGCCGCGUGGGGGAUGACGGCCUUCGGGUUGUAAACUCCUUUCAGCCAUGACGAAGCCCUUGUGGUGACGGUAGUGGUAGAAGAAGCACCGGCUAACUACGUG
rnacentral:rRNA from 1 species